rnacentral:rRNA from 1 species
GAUGAACGCUGGCGGCGUGCCUAAUACAUGCAAGUCGAGCGAACAGACGAGGAGCUUGCUCCUCUGACGUUAGCGGCGGACGGGUGAGUAACACGUGGAUAACCUACCUAUAAGACUGGGAUAACUUCGGGAAACCGGAGCUAAUACCGGAUAAUAUAUUGAACCGCAUGGUUCAAUAGUGAAAGACGGUUUUGCUGUCACUUAUAGAUGGAUCCGCGCCGCAUUAGCUAGUUGGUAAGGUAACAGCUUACCAAGGCAACGAUGUGUAGCCGACCUGAGAGGGUGAUCGGCCACACUGGAACUGAGACACGGUCCAGACUCCUACGGGAGGCAGCAGUAGGGAAUCUUCCGCAAUGGGCGAAAGCCUGACGGAGCAACGCCGCGUGAGUGAUGAAGGUCUUCGGAUCGUAAAACUCUGUUAUUAGGGAAGAACAAAUGUGUAAGUAACUAUGCACGUCUUGACGGUACCUAAUCAGAAAGCCACGGCUAACUACGU